GAGAACUACGAGCACAAACGCUUAAAACUCUAAGGACUUGGCGGUGCCCCAAACCCACCUAGAGGAGCCUGUUCUAUAAUCGAUAAUCCACGAUUCACCCAACCACCCCUUGCCAGCACAGCCUACAUACCGCCGUCGCCAGCCCACCUCUAAUGAAAGAACAACAGUGAGCUCAAUAGCCCCUCGCUAAUAAGACAGGUCAAGGUAUAGCCUAUGGGGUGGGAGAAAUGGGCUACAUUUUCUAACAUAGAACAAACGAAAAAGGAUGUGAAACCCGCCCUUAGAAGGAGGAUUUAGCAGUAAAGUGAGAUCAUACCCCCUAAGCUCACUUUAAGACGGCUCUGAGGCACGUACAUACCGCCCGUCACCCUCUUCACAAGCCAUCAACAUCAAUAAAUAUAUACUUCCCCUCCCGGCUAAAGACGAGGCAAGUCGUAACAAGGUAAGUGUACCGGAAGGUGCACUUAGACUAC
rnacentral:rRNA from 1 species